rnacentral:rRNA from 1 species
AGCUGGUGGAUCCUGCCAGUAGUUAUAUGCUCGUCUUCAAGAUUAAGCCAUGCAUGUCUAAGUGUAAACCACUGGUGAACUGCGAAUGGCUCAUUAUACCAGUUAUAAUUUAUUUGGUGGUAUGGACUACUCGGAUACCCGUAGUAACUCUGUGGCUAAUACGUGCGAAUUUCCCCGACUCAUCCGAUAAGGAGAUUAGAAGGGGCGUAUUUAUUAGUUAUAAACGCUAGCCUCGACACUCAGCCUUAGUCAUAUAACCUGAGUGUAGAGAUCGUGUUGAAUCAUAAUAACUGUCGAAUCGUAUGGCCGCUCGGCUGAUAGAAUGCCUGAGCAACGCUAACGAUGCUCCAAUCAAAUUUCUGCCCCAUCAUCUUGCACGUUGGUAGGGUAGUGGCCUACCAAAGAAAUGACGGGUAACGGGGGAUUGGCGUUCGAUUCCGGAGAGGGAGCCUGAGAGACGGCUACCACUUCUAAGGAAGGCAGCAGGCGCGCAACUUACCCAAUCCUGACGCAGGGAGGUAGUGACGAAACAUACCCUAGUAUAGAUCUGUGAUCUUGUAUAGGGAAUGCAUCCAAUCUAAACCGUUGGGUGACGACCGAUUGGAGGGCAAGACUGGUGCCAGCAGCCGCGGUAAUACCAGCUCCAAUAGCAUAUAUUAGUGUUGUUGCGGUUAAAACGUCCGUAGUCGAAUUAAAGGCUCGUAACGCGUCUGACGCUAGGAGUUACUGGGGUGACCAUCACCAAUGGGAUGAUUGCAUUAGCCCUGCGGAGAUAUCGCCCCAUGUUACCUUGACGAAAUUGUGGUGUUCAUAGCAAGUACGGAGUACUCUAGGCACAAUAGCAUGGAAUAACAACGCAAGGACUCCGACCCGGAUUGCGCUAGCGCUCGGGAUCGGAGGAAGGAUUAAUAGGAGCAGUCGGGGGCGGUCGUAUUCCAUUGCUAGAGGUGAAAUUCUGUGACCAAUGGAGGACGAACAACAGCGAAAGCAUCCGUCCAGUAUGUUUUCAUUGAUCAGUGGACGAAAGCUAGGGGAGCGAACACGAUUAGGCACCGUGUGUAGUCCUAGCCGUAAACGAUACCGACUAGGGGUUGGUGGACGUUCUUCUCGAUAGCUCCAUCAGCACCUUAUGAGAAAUCACAAGCUUUUGGGUUCCGGGG